GCGGGGGCUACACAUGCAGUCGAGCGAGAACUUCGGUUCUAGCGGCGGACGGGUUAGUAACGCGUGGGAACGUGCCCUUCACUACGGAAUAGUCCCGGGAAACUGGGUUUAAUACCGUAUACGCCCUUCGGGGGAAAGAAUUUCGGUGAAGGAUCGGCCCGCGUUAGAUUAGAUAGUUGGUGGGGUAACGGCCUACCAAGUCUACGAUCUAUAGCUGGUUUUAGAGGAUGAUCAGCAACACUGGGACUGAGACACGGCCCAGACUCCUACGGGAGGCAGCAGUGGGGAAUCUUAGACAAUGGGCGCAAGCCUGAUCUAGCCAUGCCGCGUGAGUGAUGAAGGCCUUAGGGUCGUAAAGCUCUUUCGCCAGGGAUGAUAAUGACAGUACCUGGUAAAGAAACCCCGGCUAACUCCGUGCCAGCAGCCGCGGUAAUACGGAGGGGGUUAGCGUUGUUCGGAAUUACUGGGCGUAAAGCGCGCGUAGGCGGAUUGGAAAGUUGGGGGUGAAAUCCCAGGGCUCAACCCUGGAACUGCCUCCAAAACUAUCAGUCUAGAGUUCGAGAGAGGUGAGUGGAACUCCGAGUGUAGAGGUGAAAUUCGUAGAUAUUCGGAAGAACACCAGUGGCGAAGGCGGCUCACUGGCUCGAUACUGACGCUGAGGUGCGAAAGUGUGGGGAGCAAACAGGAUUAGAUACCCUGGUAGUCCACAC
rnacentral:rRNA from 1 species